rnacentral:tRNA from 1 species
CCCUCGAUGGUGUAGUUGGAUAUCACGUUCGGCUGUAAAACGCAUGUGCAGUCGCCGGCUCGAUUCCGGCUCGAGGGA